GUAUACAUAAAAAUCAUGAAUCUGUGUCUCCGGGACCCAUCAGUGAAAUUCCUGGAGCACUGGCCUAAGCAUCUGAACCCAAGAUCCCUGUUCAGAGGGUAGAGGAUGGGAACAUUGUGUUGUUGGUUUGUUUCAUUCUCUAGAGGAUUUGCUUCCAAGCAGCAGUGAAUGGAUCACUGUGAGAACACAAUGAUAUUUUCAUCUAUGACUAAACUAUUCUAUUCUGUUCCUGCUCCUUUUAGGGAGAGGAAAAUUGUUCCUGGUUAUUUUGGUCUAAAGUUUUUCAAAACUUCCAUUACAAAUCAUAAAGCAAGUUUGACUUCUGGGAAAUUACACUUCAGUUAAUAAUUUUAAAUGUAUUUGUAUGGUGAAGUAUAACUUUAUAAAUGUUAUCU
rnacentral:lncRNA from 1 species